AGAGUUUGAUCCUGGCUCAGGACGAACGCUGGCGGCGUGCCUAACACAUGCAAGUCGAGCGAAUGAAAUUCCUUCGGGAACGGAUUUAGCGGCGGACGGGUGAGUAACACGUGGGCAACCUGCCUCAUAGAGGGGAAUAGCCUUCCGAAAGGGAGAUUAAUACCGCAUAAGAUUGUAGUACCGCAUGGUACAGCAAUUAAAGGAGCAAUCCGCUAUGAGAUGGGCCCGCGGCGCAUUAGCUAGUUGGUGAGGUAACGGCUCACCAAGGCGACGAUGCGUAGCCGACCUGAGAGGGUGAUCGGCCACAUUGGGACUGAGACACGGCCCAGACUCCUACGGGAGGCAGCAGUGGGGAAUAUUGCACAAUGGGGGAAACCCUGAUGCAGCAACGCCGCGUGAGUGAUGACGGCCUUCGGGUUGUAAAGCUCUGUCUUCAGGGACGAUAAUGACGGNACCUGAGGAGGAAGCCACGGCUAACUACGUGCCAGCAGCCGCGGUAAUACGUAGGUGGCGAGCGUUGUCCGGANUUACUGGGCGUAAAGGGAGCGUAAGCGGAUUUUUAAGUGAGAUGUGAAAUACUCGGGCUUAACCUGAGUGCUGCAUUUCAAACUGGAAGUCUAGAGUGCAGGAGAGGAGAAGGGAAUUCCUAGUGUAGCGGUGAAAUGCGUAGAGAUUAGGAAGAACACCAGUGGCGAAGGCGCUUUCUCUGGGACUGUAACUGACGCUGAGGCUCGAAGCGUGGGGAGCCAACAGGAUUAGAUACCCUGGUAGUCCACGCCGUAAACGAUGAAAUACUAGGUGUAGGGGGUUGUCAUGACCUCUGUGCCGCCGCAACGCAUUAAGUAUUCCGCCUGGGGAUACGGUCGCAAGAUUAAAACUCAAAGGAAUGACGGGGGCCCGCACAAGCAGCGGAGCAUGUGGUUUAAUUCGAAGCAACGCGAAGAACCUUACCUGGNNNUNNNAUCUNNNGCANUNNNCUUNAUCGAGGAAGUCUCUUCNGNGNNAGGAUGACAGGUGGUGCAUGGNUGUCGUCAGCUCGUGUCGUGAGAUGUUGGGUUAAGUCCCGCAACGAGCGCAACCCUUAUUGUUAGUUGCCAUCAUUAAGUUGGGCACUCUAGCGAGACUGCCCGGGUUAACCGGGAGGAAGGUGGGGAUGACGUCAAAUCAUCAUGCCCCUUAUGUCUAGGGCUACACACGUGCUACAAUGGUCGGUACAAUAAGACGCAAGCCCGCGAGGGGGAGCAAAACUGGAAAACCGAUCUCAGUUCGGAUUGUAGGCUGAAACUCGCCUACAUGAAGCUGGAGUUGCUAGUAAUCGCGAGUCAGCAUGUCGCGGUGAAUACGUUCCCGGGCCUUGUACACACCGCCCGUCACACCAUGAGAGUUGGCAAUACCCAAAGUACGUGAUCUAACCCGCAAGGGAGGAAGCGUCCUAAGGUAGGGUCAGCGAUUGGGGUGAAGUCGUAACAAGGUAGCCGUA
rnacentral:rRNA from 1 species